UCUGCCAUUCUACCUGGCCAGUGCUGUCCAACUUGUCCAAAUGGUCCAAACUGCGCCCUCCCUGGCGGAGGAAUUUUAGCCGCUGGUCGAUCCACCACACUGAGUGAUGGUCUAAUAUGCAGAUGUUCAGCGCGACCUUACGGUCUGACUCUAGCGAACUGUCGCUUCCCCAGACAAGGUUAACUUAGCUGGAUACGAACAAGGCAUAAUCAAGGAUAUCAUUAAUUCUGAGAGAUCAACAAAGCCUUCAGAUUUGUGUUUUAAUGUUUGUUACUAUUAAAGAAAUAUUUUGCAUUUUUGUUUUAGCUUUUGCAGCUACAUUCAAUAUAUUAAAGAAGCACUAUUUCACA
rnacentral:sRNA from 1 species